rnacentral:tRNA from 3 species
ACUUUUAAAGGAUAACAGCCAUCCGUUGACCUUAGGAGUCAAAAAUAUUGGUGCAACUCCAAAUAAAAGUA